rnacentral:rRNA from 1 species
GAUGAACGCUGGCGGCGUGCCGUAACACAUGCAAGUCGAACGAGGCCCUUUGGUAUUCGUACGAAGGUGUCCUAGUGGCGAACGGGUGAGUAACACGUUGGUGACCUGCCCCAAAUGGGGGACAACUCCGGGAAACUGGAGCUAAUACCCCAUGUGUUCCGAGGAGUAAGAGGUCCUCGGAGAAAAGGAGCAAUCCGCUUUGGGAGGGCCUGCGGCCCAUCAGCUAGUUGGUAGGGUAAUGGCCUACCAAGGCUACGACGGGUAGGGGACCUGAGAGGGUGGCCCCCCACACUGGCACUGAAACACGGGCCAGACACCUACGGGUGGCAGCAGUGGGGAAGUAUUGCCCAAUGGACGAAAGUCUGAGGCAGCAACGCCGCGUGCGCGAUGAAGGCCUUCGGGUUGUAAAGCGCUUCUCUGGGGGAAGAGGAAGGACGGUACCCCAGGAAUAAGUCCCCGGCUAACUACGUG